UCAUUUCUUUUUCUUCUUCGUUUCUUGUUCGGCCGACCACAACAUUAGAAGGAAAUUUUUUUCCGGCGAGCAUUUCCGGUGAACUAAAAUACCAAACUCGUUCCUCCCUCACUCCUAAACUUGGUGGAGACGCAUCCUCUAAGGGGAAGGAACUCGCCGAACAGUGAGCGCGUCUCAGGACGAGACGACUGGUUCUACUGCGACGUUGGACAGAGUUGUGUUGUGCAGCAGUAGAGUGAUUUGUCUGUUCUCCUUAUUUAGGUUUGUUAUAGUAUGCAUGUAAACUUCAUGGAUCCACUAGACUUGACCUUUAUAUGGUGUUCAUGUAUUUGUAUUUUCUGGUUGUAUCUGAAUACCCUGGCUUGUACUGUUGUUGAUGCUACUUAUGUUUAGGGUCCCUAGUAUAAGGGAACCUUAU